ACGAUAUCUCCUCAAAUCAACAUUCUUCACGUGCUCUCUCUCCCUGUAGCUUUCUGGUUCUGUUUUGCUUUGCUUUCCAUUGCUGCUCUAUCAGCCUUCUUUAGUCUAUCUGUUUCUUUUUUUAUCCACUGCAAGCCUCCUUUUUGUUUGGUUUUUUUUAGGGCCGUUUCUGUUAAGAUCUAUCAAAGUAGUUUUGUUCGUUGGUUGACAAAGAAAGCUUUUAAGAAAAACAAAACAAAAAAAAAGUUUUACUUUUCUGGUAUGGAAAACAAAAGGCAAGUGAGUGGUUCUUCUUCUUCUUCAUCAUCAUCAUCAUCUGUUUCUUUGGAUCAUCUCUUUGGUCCCAAGGACUCUUCUUCUUCUUCUUCAUCCACAAGUGGGAUUUUUGACACCAUUUUCCCUCCUCCAUCAACGGUGCUAGGGAGGGACUCCAGUCACUCUGGAAUGAUGGGGUCAUGGAAUAAUCAGGGUUUGCCCCAUCAUGGCAAAUAUGGAAAUCCAGAUCACACCACUGAUAGCAAGGGACAAAGCAGUGGCACAACUAACAAAGACAAGAGUUCGUCCGUUUAUCAUAAUGAAACAGUGGAACCUUGCAAUCUCAGCUCAUCUAUCUAUUAUGGAGGCCAAGAAAAUUAUUCUCCAAGGAAGAAGACCACUGAGUCUCCCCAUUAUUUCAAGAAGGAUGGGGGAGAUGAUGAUCCCAAUGGAAACAAUUCUGGUGGUGCUUCAAGAGGGAAUUGGUGGCAGGGUAUGAAAGCUGUGGAUUUUUGUUGAUAAACAAAAUACUCUUCACUGUCCAUAAAAAUUAUAGUAUUGAACAAUCUUUAAUCAAUUUAUUCUUUGUUUGUACAGGCUCACUUUAUUACUAACAUCUUAAUCCAAAAUAAUGCAAACUUUCCAUCCCAAUACUUUAAGGAACACUAGCAGCAUAAUUAAUCGUAUUAUUACUAUGGAAAUAAGCUGGUAGAUAGCUAGCAAUACAGUAGAAGCAUAUAGAGCAUAACACAGCUUAGGAAUUUGAGGAAGAGUGUUGACCCUGUAAGCUGUUAUAUGUAGGGCAGACAGCUCGGAGCACGCCGGAAUCAUGUAUUAUAUGUUUAUCUACUUUUCUUUUGCCUGACUAAUCUAAUCUUCUUGUUCUGAACUAUGCUCUGUGGGAUUUUUCCCACAAGAAAAUGGAUUACUAUAACUAUAUAUUGACAUAUAUAGCAUACCCUUCUCUCAUCUUGAUUUCACUUUCAAGAUUGGAUGCAUUUUAGCAUCUUAUAUACAAUGAAUGAUCACAAAGAGAAGUUAUAUGUUGCCAACAGUCACGUGAUCUGUAGUUCCAGUGACUGGAUUCAAAUUCUGGUUUCCAUAUUCUGGUUUAUUUUACAGGAAUCAUGCAAGAUAAGGGUUUCAAGAAUUCCAUUUAUUGAGGAGAGGUUUUUGAGCAUUGAGCAGUAAGAAAAUACUUGAAGUUAUCGAAAGAUUACUGAACACAAUCUUUUAUGUAUCAUUCAA